UUAGGCUUCUUAUUUGUCUUUGUUCAGCCACUGCAUCUGGGUCCAGAAUCAGCUAGAUGAACUCAAGGAAGACAGGCAUCAAGGCUUCUCUGAACUAGCACCAAGGUGGCAGACUGAUCUUGUGGAUAGCUGUGUCCCUUUCAAUUAGCUAGAUGCCACUGCAUCUGGGUCCAGAAUCAGCUAGAUGAACUCAAGGAAGACAGGCAUCAAGGCUUCUCUGAACUAGCAC